AACGAACGCUGGCGGCGUGGAUAAGACAUGCAAGUCGAACGACGACAUGCGAGUAGCAAUACGAGUGUGUUGGAGUGGCGAAAGGGUGAUUAACACGUGGGCAAGUUUCCGCGAAACCUGGGAUAACCUGCUGAAAGGCAAGCUAAUACCGGAUGAAACUCUGGGUCGGCAUCGAUCUGGAUUUAAAGUUGGGGACCGCAAGGCCUGACGAUUCGCGAUACGCCCGCGUCCUAUCAGCUAGUUGGCGGGGUAAAAGCCCACCAAGGCUUAGACGGGUAGCUGGUCUGAGAGGACGACCAGCCACACUGGAACUGAGACACGGUCCAGACACCUACGGGUGGCAGCAGUCGAGAAUUUUUCACAAUGGGCGAAAGCCUGAUGGAGCGACGCCGCGUGGGGGAUGAAUGGCUUCGGCCCGUAAACCCCUCGUCAUUUGCGAAUAAAACUCUGGGAUUUAAAAGAUCUCGGAUUGAAAGUAGUAGAAGAGGAAGGGACGGCUAAACUCUGUGCCAGCAGCC
rnacentral:rRNA from 1 species